CAAGAUUGUUAUCUUGUAUAAAAGUGCAGUUAUAAAACUUUUUAAAAAGUAUUGCGUAAUAGUUCAGUAACCGAAGUAUAGUUAUUAUCUUAUUUCAUCUAUUAUAAAAGUGACAAGUUUCAUCUUCAUUAUUGGGAAAGUAAUUGAUUUAGGUUAUAUAAACAAUUUUUUAAAACAAAACCUCUAAAAAAUGUCGAAAGUUGUUUCAAACAACUAAUGUGUUGAUUUUUAAACAAGAACAAGAAUUUAAUAACAGUGGACCAAUAUACCAUUUAACUGAUAAAUAGCUUGGUAGGUUUUGGAUAUUAAGUAAAAAAUCAUGAAAAUAUUGGAAAAUAAGAAUAAAAAAAUAAAGUUAAUAUUUCAAGAAAAGUACUGCACACUGAAGAAUGGAAUAGGGAAAAGUUAACCCUACAUAUUUGUUCAAAAAUGAGAUAACUCCAUCAUAUUAUUUGAAAUAGCAGAAGAAUGGGGCUUUUUGGAUAUUUGAAUGUAUUCCAUUGACUGUCCUGCUGUCUUUACUAUAGUUUGGGUGAUAAUUUGAGCCCAAUUAGGGUUCGCAAAACCUCUAAUAGUUUUUUUUAGUUUUCUGUACAAUUGGACGAAAUAGAUUUAGUUAGUUUUGAACCUAGGCUACUUUUAUGUUAACCAGAAGCAGAUAUUUUUUAUACCAUCUUAUAUAUGCAAAAGAUUCAAUGAAUAAUACUAUAAAAAGUCAUAGUUGAGAUUAGAUGAGAGAAAUUGGGGCAAUAGAAUACUAAAAGUUAGUCACUAGGUUAGAAUAUGUCUCUCAAUUAAAACUGACUACAAGGACAUUGUUAAAAGUUUUUUUUAGCAUCAUCUUCCAGUCAAGGAGAAUCCGUGGGAUUAUUUUUAUCGCAAUAAUUUGGGAUUAUAAUGAAUAUUAAAUUUUUAUAAACAUAAUAAUUUAGCACAGACUAAAUUACGAUAAGAAAAUAUCCAAUUUGAAGUAUAAUGUAUUUAAUUUUUCAAAAAGCAAAUAAAUACAAUCUUUUAUAUUA